ensembl:lncRNA
GGCCAGCAGAGAGAGAGGGGUGGUAAAGCCAGACGGACAGCAGAGAGAGAGGGGUGGUAAAGCCAGACGGACAGCAGAGAGAGAGGGGUGGUAAAGCCAAACGGCCAGCAGAAAGAGAGGUGGUAAAGCCAGACGGCCAGUAGAGAGAGAGGGGUGGUAAAGCCAGACGGCCAGCAGAGAGAGAGGGGUGGUAAAGCCAGACGGACAGCAGAGAGAGAGGGGUGGUAAAGCCAGACGGACAGCAGAGAGAGAGGGGUGGUAAAGCCAAACGGCCAGCAGAAAGAGAGGUGGUAAAGCCAGACGGCCAACAGAGAGAGAUGGGUGGUAAGGCCAGACGGACAGCAGAGAGAGAGGGGUGUUAAAGCCAGACGGACAGCAGAGAGAGAGAGGGGUGUUAAAGCCAGACGGCCAGUAGAGAGAGAGAGAGGGGUGGUAAAGCCAGACGGCCAGCAGAGAGAGAGGGGUGGUAAAGCCAGACGGACAGCAGAGAGAGAGACGGGUGGUAAAGCCAGACGGCCAGUAGAGAGAGAGAGGGGUGGUAAAGCCAGACGGCCAGUAGAGAGAGAGGGGUGGUAAAGCCAGACGGCCAGUAGAGAGAGAGGGGUGGUAAAGCCAGACGGCCAGCAGAGAGAGAGGGGUGGUAAAGCCAGACGGACAGCAGAGAGAGAGGGGGUGGUAAAGCCAGACGGACAGCAGAGAGAGAGGGGUGGUAAAGCCAAACGGCCAGCAGAAAGAGAGGUGGUAAAGCCAGACGGCCAGUAGAGAGAGAGGUGUGGUAAAGCCAGACGGCCAGCAGAGAGAGAGGGGUGGUAAAGCCAGACGGACAGCAGAGAGAGAGGGGUGGUAAAGCCAGACGGACAGCAGAGAGAGAGGGGUGGUAAAGCCAAACGGCCAGCAGAAAGAGAGGUGGUAAAGCCAGACGGCCAACAGAGAGAGAUGGGUGGUAAGGCCAGACGGACAGCAGAGAGAGAGGGGUGUUAAAGCCAGACGGACAGCAGAGAGAGAGAGGGGUGUUAAAGCCAGACGGCCAGUAGAGAGAGAGAGAGGGGUGGUAAAGCCAGACGGCCAGCAGAGAGAGAGAGGGGUGGUAAAGCCAGACGGACAGCAGAGAGAGAGACGGGUGGUAAAGCCAGACGGCCAGUAGAGAGAGAGGGGGGUGGUAAAGCCAGACGGCCAGUAGAGAGAGAGGGGUGGUAAAGCCAGACGGCCAGCAGAGAGAGAGGGGUGGUAAAGCCAGACGGCCAGCAGAGAGAGAGAGGGGUGUUAAAGCCAGACGGCCAACAGAGAGAGGGGUGUUAAAGCCAGACGGCCAACAGAGAGAGAGGGGUGGUAAAGCCAGAUGGCCAGUAAAGAGAGAGGGGUGUUAAAGCCAGACGGCCAACAGAGAGAGAGGGGUGGUAAAGCCAGACGGCCAACAGAGAGAGAGGGGGUGUUAAAGCCAGACGGCCAACAGAGAGAGAGGGGUGGUAAAGCCAGACGGACAGAAGAGAGAGAGGGGUGGUAAAGCCAGACGGCCAGCAGAGAGAGAG